AACAAAGGCUGUCCCUCCGGAACGCAUUCCGGAGGGACAGCCUUUUCU
rnacentral:sRNA from 1 species